rnacentral:misc_RNA from 1 species
AACGCACAUUGCGCCCGCUAGUAUUCUGGCGGGCAUGCCUGUUCGAGCGUCCUUUGAAACCCUCGGGCCCGGUUGACUCAGGUCUCCCGCGGCUCGGUGUUGGGGUACCGCGGCUGCCGCGGGCCCCCAAAGACAGUGGCGGACCCUCCCGUAGCCUGGGCGUAGUAAACAAACCUAGCCUUCGGUUGCUGGAGCGGGCCUUGCCUACAGCACCAUCUAUCAAAGUUGGACCUCGAAUCAGGUAGGAAUACCCGCUGAACUUAA